UAAUGGCAGUGGAGCCUUAUGAGGCGUGAGUCUCGCGUAGGGUUCUGCGAGGGGCCAAGAGGGAAGUUCUCCUGGUCUACUCUCC
rnacentral:ncRNA from 1 species